rnacentral:rRNA from 1 species
CACGUAGGGGGCAAGCGUUGUCCGGAUUUAUUGGGCGUAAAGAGCUCGUAGGCGGCUUAGUAAGUCGGGUGUGAAACCUCCAGGCUCAACCUGGAGACGCCACCCGAUACUGCUGUGGCUAGAGUCCGGUAGGGGAGCGUGGAAUUCCUGGUGUAGCGGUGAAAUGCGCAGAUAUCAGGAGGAACACCAGCGGCGAAGGCGGCGCUCUGGGCCGGACCUGACGCUGAGGCGCGAAGGCGUGGGGAGCGAACGGG